rnacentral:rRNA from 1 species
UCCAGCAGCAUACCACCCUACAUCCCACUGCUGGCUUGCUUCUGAAGCUAUGCAGGGUUGGUCCUGGAUGGGAGACCAGAUGCUGCUGGAA